UACGUAGGCAGCGAGCGUUGUUCGGAGUUACUGGGCGUAAAGGGUGUGUAGGCGGUUGUUUAAGUUUGGUGUGAAAUCUCCCGGCUCAACCGGGAGGGUGCGCCGAAUACUGAGGGACUAGAGUGUGGGAGAGGAAAGUGGAAUUCCUGGUGUAGCGGUGAAAUGCGUAGAUAUCAGGAGGAACACCGGUGGUGUAGACGGCUUUCUGGACCAUAACUGACGCUGAGACACGAAAGCGUGGGUAGCAAACAGG
rnacentral:rRNA from 1 species